AUGGCCAAGGAGAAGACGGCGGCGCUGGAACGUGCGAAGAAGGCGUCGGCGACGGAGAAGGCGAAGGGGAGAUCCACCAGCCGCGGCGGGUCUUCGUCUAGAUCCCGCCUGCCGAAGGGCUGGGUCCAGGGAGAUUGGAUCCAGUCGACCAUCACGGAGAAGGACCUCCUCGACAUGGCCAACGAGGGCUUGAUCCCUCAUGGAGCUGCAAGGCUUCCGGGGAAAGAAUGGCAGCCCCAGCCGGAGGAAGGUGAGUGCGUGCUGCUGGCUACCCAUGUCGACCGCGGAUUUUCUUUGCCGCCGAGUAUUUUCUUCCGUGGUUUCUUGAACUUCUUUGGAGCGCAACUCCACCACUUUACUCCGAAUUCUAUCGCCUAUCUUGCCGCAUUCGUGUCCAUGUGUGAGGGUUUUCUGGGCUGUCGACCGCACUGGGGCUUGUUCAAGCAUAUAUUCACGUGUCGCUCUCAGACCGUGAAGAAGGCGAGCCCAGGCGACGAAAGAACCCGAGUUGUCCAAAUGUGUGGGGGCCUGGGGAUCCAGGUGAGGAACAAGAGCACCUUCCCAGCCAUGACAUUUCCCGAGUCAGUCAGAGGCUGGCAGUCGACCUGGUUCUACUGCCAGGAUCAGUCGAUGCCGGGGCAGUCGAGUGGACUCCCUCAGUUUACCAUAGACCGAGUGAACAAGCCCUCCUCUCUGAAGUUGAUUCCGGAGGAGAAAGCCGACGUGAAGAUGUUGAUGGAGCGCGUAGUACAGUUGGUUCGGGAGGGAGUGACGGGCAUGGAUCUCCUGGAGGUUUUCCUUAGGCGUCGUAUCCAGCCCCUUCAGUUCCAGAGCCAUUGCAUGUGGUUGUACUGUGGGACUAAGGAUGAGACUCGGGUCCAUCCAGAAGCAGUCGACGAUGCCACUCUGGAAAGGUGGAUGGCCGCCGUUACCGGAAACAAGGAUAACCCACGCGGAGCCAGAAGGAUUCCUCCACUCGACCACCACAGUGAUCCAAACAAGGUAUGCCUGCUCAGCUCCCCACUGUAUUCUUGUCAUAUUCAUUUCUGUUUAUUCUGCCAAUCGGUCGAUUGA
rnacentral:rRNA from 1 species